UGGACAGUGGAGAGUAAUAAAAAUCACGGCCAUUUAUUGGGUGUUUACUAUGUGUUGGGCAUCAUGCUAAGUACUUUGCAUACAUUAUCUUAUUUAAUCCCCACAGUAACCAUGUGUCACGCCUGUUAGUAGCACUGCUUUAGUGAUACAAGAUGAUGUUAAUUAACUUGCCUCAGGUCACACAGCCAGUGUGAGUCUUUGUGACUCCCACGCUCCCACUCUGAAUGCCAGUGCUGUGUUUUCUCUCAAUGGCUAGGUACCCAAAGACAGGAUUUAGCCUUUGGGAGUCCUGGGUUCAAUUUGUUACUGUGCUGCUUAUUGGCUAAGUGAUCCUGGAUGAGUCUCCUAGCUUUCUUCAUGUUCUCCUCCGUAAGAUGGGAAUAAUUGCAUAUACUUCACUAGGCUUUGAUGGGGAAUGAAGUUAAUUUGUUACAAAAGCACUGUGUAAACUAGAAGGGAUUAACCAUACAUUUCACCUCAUUUAAAUGAGUCAGUAGUAAAAACUUGUUUAAAAAAUACUUAUGUACAAAAAAGUCACGUGUAUUGGGCCUUUUUCUUUUCCUAAGGAAACCUGGUUAGCCCCGCCUUUUAUGCCAGGGAUGGUCAAGUGUGACAAUGGAGAGUAGUUCAUCUGCCAAGGACAGGCAUUGGGAGGAGGUCUUAUCAGAGGGGAAGGGAUGUCAUCCACAUGUACAGCACAGCGGUUAAAGAGACAGGGCUCUGAGUCUAGUUACCAGCUGUGCCUCCUCGUAUAGGCUCCCCAGUUCCUAUCCGUGGAGUGGAGGUGAUAACAGUGCCAGCUUCGUCCCGCUGUUGUGGAAUGCUGAAUGAGCUAUGAGGCAGCACGGGGCCAACCACCAGGCCUGACAACGUGGCAGGUUUGUGGAAUGUGGAAGUUGAUGUUCGUGAUGAGGAGGAUGCUGCUUGGGCAGAUAAAAGGCAAGGGGCAUGCUAAUUGGGGGCCUUGGCCUUAUUUGAAGGAUCUCCCAGAGGGAGACAAGGAGAACAUACAGGUCUGGUGGGACUGAGGGCAGCCUUGGGAGGAAGCCAGAGCCCUGUAAACGGGCUCUCAGCCAGAUGGAGAAUCUAGUUCUAUUUCUCAUCUCCCAAAGUGGGGGUCGGUGGUGGUCAGGGCUGUGGGGCCCAACAAGGACUGCAGGGAGGUAGCCUCUGUCCCUGGUCCUUCUGCAGGCCCCAGGGAGAUGGCUGAGUCCUGGAGGUCUUCUGGCCAGCUUCCAUUCUGUGCCUGAGCAGGUUACAAAUCACUGGGAGGAGGGACGCAUUCCACGGUGAAGCUCAGCUUUAUCAUCUUGGCCAAGGAGCAAAGUUUACUCAGAAAGAGUUCCUGCCAUUUUUUAACUUGUUACUUGGUUCUGCAUAUGAGAGAGAAAAAGGAGAUGGGGGAGCCAAGUGUUGGGAUGGGGUGUGGGAAGGAGGUUAAAUGUUGAGACUGGCUUGCCGGGACACGUUUCUUAUACAAAGGUGAUAUAUGACGACUCUGGGGAUAGCCUACAGGUAGGCAGGAAGUGGCCAGUCAGUUGUAUCUCAGCAUUGUAUGAUUCCAAAAAUGAGGGGUAAGCUUGGUAUUUCGAAUGUUUAGAAGUAGGCCUCACGGAAGUUGUGCUGUGUUUCCUUCCUGUGUUCAUCGGCCUAUUUGCCCAGUGGAUGGUUACUGGACAUGGAUGUGCGCCAUGUGGUGGCAUAAAGGGCUGUAAGACGCAGUCCAGGCCCGCGAGAAGCUUCCUAGCAGUGAGGCUGUUUUAUAACUGUUCCCAAAUCAUGUUAGCUCUGGAAGCUAUUUCAGGAACGCUUUUGGUUAUGAACCGUAUCUUAUAUUUAAUUUUGAUUCUCUUUUCCCUCCUGUCCUGGAUUCAGUAGCAGCAUCCACACUGUGUGCCUGGCUGUGUCGUAGGUGUUGGAAGUACUUAGAAGAAUUAGGAGGUACUUGGUAAAAGCUUGUUAAUUAACUAAAGUGGGGACCUAGAACCAUCUCCAAAGAACUUUUGGUCUUCUCUUGUGCAGUCAAGACUCUUCAUGUCUCAAAAGGACCCUGAGCUUCUAUCUGGAGCGCAUCAGAAUCUGUGAAAUGCCUGGAUCUAGGCCAUAAAGUAGAGGGUUUGUCCCCCUCUUUUCCUUAGUUGCUGUAUGUUCUUAAUAACAGUAAGAGUUUUAGCCCACUGCAGGAGGCACCUGAAGGCAUGCAAAGCUCCACCUCUCCACCUACCUCCUAGGGCCCUGGGUGGCACUCCUCUGCUCCUUUCCUUUCUUCUUCUGUUACCGUAUCAGGUAAGGCCACUUUCUACUCUUAGUUGAAAUUUACAGUUGAUAGCCAUGGGGAACCAUUAGAGUCUCUGGUCUUUGAUUCCCUGGGAGAGGGUGGGUCUGACAGUGGCCUUCCCACCUGUGUGAUGAGGACAGCUGAUUUCUGUCUCCUUUGUUCUCAGCCUCACAUGGGGUCACAAGGAAAAGGAAAACACAUAAAAGAUCCCCAGGGCUCAGAUUUGGGGUUGCACUGUUUUUAGUCCAGAGCCAGCUGUCUUUGGCAUCCGUCAGGCAGAGGGGUGAGGUGAUUGCUGGUGCUUGUGACACCACAGGUUAAGUGUCCCUUUGAUAUUUGCUUGGGGACCCUUUCCAGAAGCUGCAGUUAGAAGAGCACAUUCUUGUUUGAUACAUUUAGAUCAAAGGAAGGAAAGAGUAGGAGAAACCUCAGAGGACCUGUGUGGGUGGGCAGGGAAGGGAUUCACAUCAAGUGAGCCCGUUUCCAGUGUGUUUGUUGGGGAUUUAGGGGUUGUCAUGUUGACAGGCCUAAUCUAGUCCAAUCAGGCAAUCAGCAAGUAUUGAUUGAGUGCUGCUGGAAGUAUCGCUUUGGCAAGAAUGAAAAAAGAAUUUUGAAGCUUGCCUGGACCCUUUCUUUGAAAAGUUCAGACUCUAAUUGGAGGCUACAGAUGAGCCACGUGUGACAUGAGACAUGACAGCCUAUUAUCUUGGCUCUAAAUUGUAACAAGGGGUUAAACUGUUGGCAUCUGGAGAAGGAAGAACAAUCGUGGCAAACGUGGGGCCUGCAGGAUUGCUGUCUAUCUCAUCUGGGAAAGAGUGAAGGAUACAGGUAGACAUAUUGCUUAGUCUAGUAGAGACCAUGGAUCUCAGACUCUUGUCCAACAUCAAAAGUAUCAAAGCACCUUCUCCUUGCUGGAGUUUGGCCACGUGGAAAGAAUCCAUCCAGCUAGCUCUCAAAAAAGGAACAGGUGAGCGUUGGGAUUGAUUCCCAGCUAAGGGAAAUUGAGCAGAUUAAUGGAGAUAAUAUAUGUGAAAUGGUUUAGUGUGUGUCAUACAGAAAUAAUUCAACAAAGGCUUAUUGGCAGAUUCCUAAGCUCAAGACUGAGAGGGCCUGAAGAAGGCACAUAGCAAGGUUUUAAUUAUUGUGUGUAUGGGAGGGCUGGGUUGGGAGUCGAGGGGCAGGGGCGGAUUAAGCAAGACAGGGAGUGAGGACUCCUGAGGGAGGAAGAAGAUUCUCUGGGAGAUCAGAGCCGGAUGCCCUUUGGCCUUCUCAGGCCACUUUUGGAGGGCUGCUGCAGUUCCUGAUCUCAAUUAGGAGGGAAAAUGUCAAACUACUAGUUGAAGUACAGAGCAGAGCUGCUGGCACGUGAAGAGUGGUUAAAAACAUGAGACUGUGUGGCCCAGAGAGGUAGAGAUUUUGGUGAGAGGGGGUUUGCUAGGUACAGUAUUGUGUGUUUAAAGCACUGUCAGGUGAUGUGGGUGUCAGACUUACCCUGUGGUACCUCAGGGGGCAGCCCUGGGGCCAGUGGGCAGCUGUGAUAGGGAGGCAGAUGUUGGUGUUGGGAGCUGGAUGCCUGUCUUGCUUUAUGGGCUGUGAAGGAUGUGAGGGAGAGAAGAUGGGUGACCCUGUCAGGUCUCCAGCUCCUUCUGUGGGUCCCGUAGUGUUUACACAUGAGCGAAUGUCCGCCAUGCAGGGAUGCUAAUAAUGAAAACAGUAGCCAUAACUUCCCUUACUGAAUACUUGUUGGGUACCAGGCACUGUUGCUGAGUGCUUUACUCAGAUAGACUCUAAUCUUCACAGCAACACUAUGAAGAGGUAUGAUGAGCUUAUCAGCCCUACUUUAUAGAUGAGAGAAUUUAGGCAAGACAUGGAAUAACUCACCCAAGAUCCCACACCUUGGACUCUAACCCAAGGCGGAGUCUUCUUGUCUCAGUGGAAGGUGAGGCCAGAUGACAUUGAGGGUGUCUUACACCCCUAGAGUUCUAAGGCCCUGUCUUGUGGCUCAUUCUGGGCUAUUUGGAUGGGGUUGAGAGGGUCUGUGGGUUUGGGGCAGGAACAGUGGUUACGACUCUCGGGAUGACCUGACUGUGGAUGCUGGUGCUGGUCAGUGAUAGGGCUCCGUGAACAGAGUUCUCCCGCUGGCUGUUAGGAAAGGGCCUCUCUAGGGAAGUGGGCUGGGACAUCCCAGCUUAUCUCAGCAUCUCAGUUCCUCCUGUCUUCCUUCCUCUACCCUUACGGUGAUUUAGGGCUCUCAGAAGCUCCAGUAGUAAUUUUUUCAUGUCAGCAUACCCAGAAACUUAUAUAUAUAUUUUUUGAGACAGAAUCUCGCUCUUUUACCCAGGCUGGAGUACAAUGGCACAAUCUCGGCUCACUGCAACCUCCACCUCCCAGGUUCAAGCGAUUCUCAUGACUCAACCUCCCAAGUAGCUGGGAUUACAGGCGUGUGCCACCAUGCUUAGCUAACUUUUGUAUUUUUAGUAGAGAUGGGGUUUCACCAUGUCAGCCAGGCUGGUCUUAAACUCCUGGCCUCAAGUGAUUUGCCGGCCUUGGCUUCUUUUGGCCUCCCAAAGUGCUGGAAUUACAGUCGUGAGCCACCGCACCUGGCUCCAGAAACUUCCUGAUUGUGUCAUGAGCGCACUCAGCCUGUAGGUCUCUCCUCAACCCCCACUUAGCUCUGCCUCCCAAGAAAGGCGUAGAGCAAGUGAUGCCCAAGUGCCUGGGCCUCCAGGGCCAGCAGGACUUGAGCUGUCUUGUUUGGGGGGCCAGGGUGGGAUUAAGGAGCCAGCUGUCCUCCUAGCAUCUUGCUUUCCUAGUUUACCAGCCUCUGCUGACCGAGGGAGUUCCUGCCAGCCAAGGGUGGAGCUCCUUAAAAAGUGCCUCGCACUGUACCUGACACAUGGGCCCCAAACACAUUUUUUUUUGGAAUAGAUCAACGGCCAUUCUUUCUGUUGGACCCGACUGCUUUCUAAAUAUUCACCCUGGCCUCUGAAGGUUUUGAAGUUUUCAGAGGGAGAGUGAUGGGGUGCUCCUCUCACCUCCAAAGUAUGUGGCAUUGGAGAAAUCUUCUAAGUGUAAUCUUCUGUCUUGUAAGGCAGAGCUGUUGUUGCUGUGCUGCUUUUGGAGAAAGAACAUUGGCCUCAGAGGCCUAUGUCAAAUCCUAGCCUGAGAAUAAUGGCUGUCCAGUGGUCCCAGGGGGUUUCAGAGAGCUGAACCCUCUAAAGGAGUGUAAUUCCAACACCUUCCUUCAGUAAAUAAAUCAACCACAGGACUGCCUCCCACCCCCAAAGAUUCUGGUCAACAUCCCCUCCCAGUGCAGAGGAAGUAUUCACAUCAUCAGAGGUUUUGUGGAACCUUACUUUUGGUAUGGUUUCACAUUGUGAAAACAAUAUGAAAACAUAUCCCAAAUAUUAACUGUUAUGUUUUAGACAGUCCCCAGCUCCUCUCCCACCCCUGAAUGAGGGCCUCGGCCCUGGAAGUUUUGUCCCUGCUCCUGGCAAGGCUGGCACUUUGCUGAAAGCUCGGACCUGUGCCCAGGCCAUGCACAAUGGCCCUGGUCUCUUUUCUCCUCUGUCCUAGGCUGCAGGUACGGACGUGCCCCUGCUUGGGGGAUAAGGCAGUAUGGAAAUGAAAGUUGAAGUCAGAAGUGUUUGGGGAAUCCCCUGCCCCACUUGUGUUUGUGAUUCCUGCUGUCUAGAUCUGACUCAGUUAAGUAGAGCAGAAGUUUGUUGUGAGGCAGGAAAGCGACUCCAUUUAUAAGUCACAUGGUGCUAAACCCAUGUGGUCACACAGAGGUCAGCACAGCCCCAUAAAUCAUCAGAGGCCUAGGUUCUUCAUACCCUAGAGACAUCUCCUCCUGCCCACAAGAGCAGCAGCAGCGUCUGAGGGCACCAACCUGUGCCUGGAGGGAGUCUGGCCAAGACACCCCAAUCCCGGCCAUGUCUGGCCUGUGGCACAGGCUACAGGUUCCGCUGUUGAGGAAUGGAGUAAUGUUCUCCUCAAGUCCCUCUCACGUGGCCCAACCACACUCUAUCUCUCUGGAAAUUAUUUCCAUCCAUUGGCAGGGCCAAGAUUUUGAGCAGCCAGCCAAGAGGCACGUUGGGUUACUCCCUCAGUCCCAAGAAGACUUUGUCCUCCUGUAUUUUAGGCAGCAGGAGCUGUGACCAGUGGUUAGCAGAGUGGCCACGUUCACUCAGCCCCAGCCCAUGGUCAGGAUAGCAGGUGCCAGUGCUAUUGCCAGUCUGGGUUUUGCUUAUGGCUGAGUUGUGAGCCCUCUGGGGUGGGAGGUUAGAUUUAAUGAUUAGCGGCCUAAGACAAGAUAGAUGUUUUGGCCUAUUUCACUUUCCCAAGAGGUGAUGGGAGCCAGCUUGGGCAGGACAUUUUGGAGCCUGGAUUUCUGGCCUGAGAGACAGACUGACUGUGUCUGUCCAGGAAAAAGCAUCUACUUACAAACAGAGCAUCCUAGUCACAAUAUCUGCUGUUGCAGGCCUGACCUUCCCUCAUGCAAACAUGCCCCUCUCUGUGCAGCCCUUGGGCGUAUUUCACAUGGGAGUCCCUGUUGGUGCUGGGGUUCACUUCCAUUUGUGCUGUGAAUUCAGCAUUCAACUUGGCCUUUGCUUGUCUUCCUUUACCCUGAGGGUCGGGGAGCCCUGUGUUCUUGGCCAGCGUCUGCCAGGCCACUUACUCUCUGCCGCCUGGCUCUGGCUCCCUGUCUGUGGCGGCAUUCUGAGUGUGUGUCUGCAUUUCACCUCUGCCAGCACCUACCCUCCAGCACAGGCUGUCCCCAGCCCUUGCCUCUCGGAUUUUCACUUGGCACCUGGCACUGCAUUGUGUCCUUGGAGUGUUCGUUGUCACUGCUGGGCCUUGUUUCGCUUCAGCUCAGUGACACGGGUGGAAGUGUCAUGGUCUCUUGGGUUGGGGGAAAGCUCCUCAGUGGCUCUGGGGUAGUUCCUCCAGGAGACUGGCACAGUGUGGUCUUCAUGGCUGAGGUCUGACCACACCAUGAUCACUGCUGUUGGUCUGCAACUAUUAAUGGCACUGCUCCUUAGGAGCCUUUUCCCCAUGAAUGCCAUCAGACUUCUACUCUAUGAGUACCAUUUCUGUCCCCACCCCACCAUCGAGCACAUUCUCAUACUUUUUGUGAUUAUAUAUACUUAGAUUUCUGUGUUUUUAUUUCUUCUUGAAGUUGCUUGAUGUUAGAAAUUCAUCUCUUCCUUACCAGGUAUUGAACUAUCCCAGUAAUUUAGCUUUUACUUGGCUUCUGCAACCUUUUUUUCUCUAAGCUCCUUAUCUGUCUUGGGCCUACCACUUGAACACAUUUGAUCUUGUCUACUUAUCUUGUCAAUAUGAAGCUAGGUAUGGUUGUGUCUGGUUAGUACUUGGAUGGAAGAUCUGAGAAUGCUAGGUAUUCUAAGUCUUUUGAGGUGUUGGUAGGCUUUUUCUUACACCAAAUGCAAAAUCUUUAUGUCGCCAUUGUUGUCAUUCUCAUCAUCAUAGUGAUAGCUGGGAUUAAUCGAGUAUUUAUUCUGUGUUGGGCCUUGUGCUGAAUUACUUCUGUAUCUCAUAUCCUCGCCAAGAAAAUCCCUAUGAAGUAUAGAUGAAGGUGAAACUAGAAACUUAGAAAGGUUAAGUAAGUUGUUCAAGUUUAUAUAAUUAGUCAAGAGGCUGCACUAGAAUUCAGAUUCAAAUCUAUCUCAUUUUAGAGUUAGAGUUUUUAACCACUAUAUGUAAUAUUUUUGUUUGGUGGUUAAGUACUCUAUAAAUGUUGGUUGAAUGGCAAGAUUGCUCUAACAGUCCAGCUGUUCUCCAUGGUGUCACUAAUGAUGAUGAUGAUAGCACACAGCAUUUUUUGAAUGAAUGCUUGCAGUGGUAAGCUCUGUACUAAAAGACAUGCAUCAGUUAACCCAUUUAAUCUUAUAGCUCAAUGAGGAAGAUUACCCCCAUUUUGCUGAUUAGGAAACUGAGGCCAGAAAGGCCAAGGUAACUUGCCCAAGGUGACACAGCUAAAUAGUAUUAGGGGAUUUGGAUGCAAGCUGUCUCCUAAACUGUGUGAGUCUGUACUCUUAAUCACUAUGUUGCUCUCCACAAAAAAAUAAGGCUGAUUUUUAUUUUUCUGUGCUUUUCUUCUUGCUCUCCCCUGCCUUAGCUAGUGAUGCUAUUUCUUUACCAAUUCUUGCUCAUCCUAUUCAUUCUGAGAAGCCCAGGCUGGAGUUCUUUUCUCAGACUAUGCAUGUCCACAUCGAGCUGGCUUCUCACAAUUGGCCCCUCCGUGUAUGUUUUCCUAAACUUUACUUGUAAACAUGUUAAAAUGACCGGAUUUACAAUUAGUGAUCUACACCGUAAUAACAGACCUAUUUGUCUUAUUUCUACCAAAGAAAUGGAACAGGGAGCUCAGAAACAGACCUAUAUGUAUCUGGACACCUGAUUUAUGAUGAAGAAGGCACUGCUGGGCAGUGGGGAACGGAUGGUUAUUUUAAUAAACAGUGCUGGUUCAGCUGGAUAUCCACAGGAAAGAAAUGAAUCUUGAUCAUAUACAAAAAUAAAUUCCAGAGCGAUCAUCAAUCUAAAUGUGGAAAUUAAAACAAAACAAAACUUCAUCUACAAGAUAACAUAGAAUAUCUUUAUAACUGUGGGGUAGCCAUACAUUUCUUAAAGAAGACACAGAAAGCACUAACUCUAAGGGAAAAGAUUGAUAAGUUGGAUGUCAUUAAAAUGAGGAGCUUCUGAUCAUCAAAUGACAUCAGUAAAAGAGAGUGAAGGCAAGCAGAGAGGAGAAGAUAUACUCAGUACCUAUACCUGGCAAGUGGAUUCACAUCCAGAAUAUAUAAAUAACUCCAACAAAUCCAUCAGCAAAAGAAUCCCUUCCCCCAACUGGACAGAAAAAAGUUCCAUACUGAACAAUUGUGAGUUGUAUGCAGUUUUCUUCUCCCAGUGCAAGGUUCUAACCAAUAUGUCCUGGAUCACUGGCACAGCCUGGUGGCUGGCCUUGGGAACUGUCUGGUCUGGUGGCUCUUGGCAUUUUCUUUUGUGUAUGGACUGUGGGCCCUUCCUUUCCCAUGUGCUUCUUCACUUGCUAUUGGUUUGGCCGCAAGAGGCUCCUGUCUCAUGAAUGCCUGUGUCUCUUCCUCUUUUCCUUUGGCUUGUUAACUUUUGAUCAGCUAUUUCGAGAAUAUUUCUCUCUGGCUUCUUCCCCCUGCCCUUCCUUUUUAAUUUCCCUUUUUGUACCUUCUUGUUUAGCCUAAAAACUUCUGGUUGUAAAAACCAUCCUAAAGUGUCUCCAGGUCUUUGGGGGAGUAGGCUUGUUCUCUGGGGCUCCAGAGGCAGAAUGGAGACCUGAAGGCUAAUAUUUCCCUGCAGAGAGAUUUCAUCUCAGUUGUGUUCCACUUGUCUGAACCCUCCAAAGGUGUGGUGGGAGUUAUUGAAUCAAGUGGGGGCUAGACCAUGACUUGGUCACGGUGGUGUUUGUGGAGGGUACUGUGCCUUGGAUGGGCAGCUGGAUUAUGAUAAGCCCUUCCAAUCUUAUCACCAAAGCCCUGGAUGGACCUUUUGUGGAUGUCCAGAGAAGCGCUCUCAACUGGGAGACAAAGCCAGUAUAUCAGCAUGCCUUUUCUGCCUGGCUGGCAGGUCAGGAUGCACACAUAUUAUCAGUACUUCAGUUAAAUCACAUAUACUUGGAAGUCAUUUCGAUACACCUCUCCACCUGCAGCCCUCAGGGAAGUUUUAAAUUUUCCUCAUUUUCCUCUAUGCUUAUUAUUUUCCUCAAAUGGCAGAUGUGUGAGGUAAAGUUUUCCUCUUUGGGUGUGUUCUUUAUUUUAUUUAAUUCCUCACUCUGGCAAUGCUUGCUCUUUCUUUUUUUUUCAUUACAAAUGUAUUGUAUUUUAGACACAUUACAACCAGGAGAACAAACUGGAAGCUCUGUAGGUAUGUUCUGACCGUUAAAAUAUCUUGACAGUGUUAAAAAAAAAUCAGGAGUUUAACAUAAAGCUAGUUUUCUGCCUUGCCCUGAAAACCUGGAUGAUCUGGACUCUUUGGGUCUCUGUUCCCAGAUGGUCCCCAGCAAGCAGAGCCAGGAGGGCAGCCCAUCAGGAGUGGCACGGUCGUUCCACUGGGCACAUCCCCUCCCCAGGCCACUGUACUCCUUCGUUACCUGCCUGGCCCCUGAAGACACUGGAGUUGAUGACUUCCUGGAGUGGGUAAAAUGGGCUUUUGUGAGCUAGCCUGGGAACCAAGCAGUAUAUUUGAUAUUAUUUCAUUGCAAAAGUGGAUCUCAGCUUUUAAAGUAAGCAGAUGUUUUAAAUAUCAGCAAUGCAAAUUUGGGAAUACUUAGCCUCAGCUGGAAUGUGUGUGUUCUCCAUGAUGGCCUGUUUCUGAUGCUUUUCCUGUGCUGUAUAUUGGCUUAGCACUUAGUAGGUACUUAAUAAAUGAUUUACCUCAGGGGGUAACCAAGUGACUGUUGUCCACCAGCUCCCAGGGAGUGAACAGAAAUGCCAUCUUGCUGUGGAUUGGGCCUGUCAGUUCUGCCUGAGACUGGAUCGCUGCCAGAUUUAUCUAGAACAUCCACUCUAGCUCUAGAUAACAGAGAUUGGAAUGUGUCCUCUGCACAGCUUCCCUGUCUGGAGAGCGAGGUAAAGACCUAGACCCCAUCGAGUCGGCCCUAAAGAGGAAACAGGACAGGGAGGCCGGCAUGAAGCCGGCAUGAAGACUGCUUUUCCGGCUGUUGCCUGCCGAACUGGAGUUUGUGGCCGGUACACAGUGCUUGCAUUCCACACCCUGAACAAGGGCGGGUCAAAGUUCAGCUCAUUCCCCUUUAAAGAAAAAAAUUCUUUGUCUUUGGCAUUUCGAAGUUUUGACCCAGAUCAGUCAGAGGCCACGGAAUGCUCAUGAAGUCUGGAGAGUUUGUUUAGUUCCUGAGCCCGGUAGCUGCUGAGGAGCCAAAGAGAGCCGGCAAACUGUUGGGCUUGAGCUGAAUCCUUGCCUUUUCAAGUUUGCGCUGGCCUGGCCUGGCCUCCCCAAGCCUCUGAGGGUGAGUAGAAGGAGCCAGCACCUUUUCCUCACUCUGAAGUUAUCUUUACCCCCUGAAAUCAAACACUGCAUGCAGCACCCUGUAAAACUGCUUCCUUGUAGGCUCGAGCGUGCUUGCUAAGUAAACAUCCUCCCAUGUUUUUGGAACUGAAUUCAUUUCUGCUUCCUGGUCAUCCCAUUCGGGUUUUUUUGUUCUUGGUGCCUUGUAGAAUCAGGUUAAUAGAAGGAAGACCUAGAAUUGGGCAGAGGUACCUAAAAUGACUGUUUUAAUCCUACCUCCUCCAGCCUCCUCAUAUAACUGGCUGUUUUCCACUGUACUCAAGGUUCCGUCUUUUGGCUUAAAGCCCCCCUCCGUCUCUGUACAGGAAAAGCCUCUUCCUUCUUUCUUGCCUAUUAAAUUCUCCGCUCCUUAAAACCACUCCACAUAUGUCCGCAUCAUUUUAUUCAAACCGGAGCAAAACCAAAAACCCUAGUGUUUUUCCAGUCAUCAAAGCCGUAUCAACGGGGUCAUGGGAAGGAAAAGAUUUAGAGGGAAAAUGAAAGGAAACAAAGCCUUGCUGAACGUAGUGUUGUCAUAGGUUUUUGCGAGUCAUAGUUGGUCCAUGCCGCACCCUUGAGAUGGGGACUUAUCUUUGCAGGGACUCAGCUUAGUUUUGCUGCGGUCAUAGACUACAGUCGGCCUCUCUACAAAUUCUGUGGCUUUGUAGGUUCCUCCUCUGACCCUGCCUCGCUUUCGCUUCGUCUCUCAUGACUUAUUUGCCUCUUUUCUCACUUCCACCCACCCGUAACAUCCCCAUCGCCAUGGCAGUGAGCAGCCACGUCACUCACCAAGUUCAUGGGGUGAUGGGCCAGCUCUGUACCAAGCCUACUUCCCUCUAGUUCUGCCUCCUGAAGGAGGAGUCUCCCUGGCAGAGCUCAGAGCCCUUUGUUUAUUUGAUCCUGGGCUCUUGGAUAAAUCAGGAAUGUCCUGACAUGAACUUAGGCAUGUUUUUCUUCCAUGGAGAAGGAAACUACGGCAAAUGGGAUUUAAGUAACCAGAGGACCUUUCUGGGGGACUUGCUUUAGUGCCAUCAAGGCCACAUUCCUUUGGUCAUCAGACCAGUAGGUAACUUCUUUAUUGGCAUGCUCAACCUUGGAGCCCAGAAGGUGUGAAUUUGAAGCACUUUCCCCCCUGCUGGGAGCCUGGCACAGACACUCUAGUCUUCUUUUAAAACUGUGUAGUGCCAUGCUUGUCUUCCAAGUGGUCCUUCUUUCUGCCGGAUGAAACUUUGGCCCAGAGUAGUUGCUUGAAGAAAGCUGCCUGGGAAGCAGAUAUGGGAUAAGAUAGCUGCCUGGCCUCGCAUUCUCAUUCAUCUUCCUGGAAGUUGCAAGGUUCUUGAUGUCAUAGACUUCAUAAGUUACCUGACCCAGGACCUGAAUAUCUCACUCACUUCUGGUCAAGUCUAGGCUCAUAUGGUACAACUGGUUGUCAGGAACCUUUCUGCAUUCUUUGGAUGUAGCAGUGUGGGAACCUGACACUCCCUUGGUCUAUCUGGGUAUGUAGGGUCUAGUGAUUUAGUAUCUCAGUUGUUCUUGGAAGCAUUUUUGCGUCUGAGGGGAGGAGCAGGAAAAUGUUGGGGGCUCUUUGCUUGCCGUAGUGGAGACCUGUGAGUAUCCAAAAACAACCUCACUCCAUCUCUAGAUCAUUGGUGGACCGCCCCUUCCUGGAAGAGUUUCCAGGAGUGUGGACAUCCAUGCAUGAACAUUGUGGAGGGGUUGGGGGUCGGCUAGUGGAUGCUCAUCUUGCUUGACUGCCCACGCUGGAGAGGAGAACCCAGUCAUUGGCCACUUCAGGUCCAGGCUUGGCUGUUGUUCUGUUUUGCUGUUUUUCAUGUUGUCAGAUCUUCUUGGGAACAAAUGACUCAGCAACCCAAAUCUCUGAGGCUGUGUGGCCAAUUACUUGAAAAGUAAUUGAAUGUAUCUACCUAGGCCCUAAAAUUUUGAGCCCAGGAAGGAUGGAUAUCCAGACUGGUUUUACUCUGGAUUCUUCAGGCUGCAGUUCAAUUUGGUUUUUCAAAUUCCUGCCCUGAUAGAAGGAUCUCAUUUGUGGGGUAGGCAGGCAAUGUUUUAAUUACGCUUUUUGUCCUUAAGAAAUUCCAGGGAGAAAAAGGUCCUGGUUUGUGGCCAAAAAAGCAAAAAACAACAGAAAUCAGCUAUGACUCUAAUCCUGGACUUGUCUGUGGCACAAAGAGUUAAUGGGACAGUGGUCAGGGUGAGGAACAUUUUUUCUCAGGGCUGGAGAAGCCCAUAUGGCUCAAGAAAAGAUGUUGCAACAUUUAGUACAGGGCAGCCCUGUCUGGGCACUGGGGGCUGCCACUCAAAGAGUUAAGCUAGUCUUAUGCCUGGGAAGGCCUCAGGGAAGGAGUGAGCCUGAAAGGACAGGGACCUCUAUGCCCCAGAGCAGUGAGGUGCAGGAGGGGUGAGGUGGGAGGGUGUGAGCUGAAAAGUGUGGCCAAGGAAGCAGAGUGUAGGCCCAACUUUUUUUGCCUUGUUUGACCAGCCUUGGCACUGCCCUCCGGCUCUCCAGGGGAAAAGCUGCAGUUCUGCUCUUGCAACACAAGGAGCAGACUGGAGAAUUUAGAUCUGCGUCACAGAGCUGAGAGAGAGAGAGAGAGAGAGAGAGAGUGAGAGAGCGAGCGAGCAAGCAAGCUCCGUCGAUAGGUCUGCUAGCAACAGCCGUGCUGCAGCAGAGAGAGAGAGAGAGAAAUCAAGAAACAAGUCAUAGCAACACCGGGCACCAGGUUCUGCCAGCUCACUUGCUGAGCGUUCAGAUAUCUGUCAGGGCCAGAGGCCUCUGGGUAGCCUAGGCUAGGAGAUGACACGCAAGGUGGCACGGGCGGUUCCCGCGGGGAGGAGGUGGGGUGGUGGUGGGGGGCAGGGGUGGGAGCAAGAGGUUGCGGGGCGAUCGUGGAAGGUUUGAUGGGACCAAAUUCUGGAACAUUCGGGACUGCGGCACCUUACGGCGGGACCAAGAUUUGGGUCUGCGCAGGCGGCGAUGGGUGGUCCGACGGGCUUCAGGACUUGAUGGCGUAACCCCCUUCUUCCCCCACGUAUGUAUUUGCUGGGAUCAGGGGCGCUGUCUCUGUGUAUGUGGGUGCUCUGUCUUUCUCACCUUCUUUCUCGAUUUUUGCUAUUUAUUUCUCUGAGGGAGGGUUUUUUCCCACUUUAAUUUCUUUUCCCUAGUGUCAGCUGCUCAAGCCUGACCAGGGUAGAGGAGAGAGGAGUGAACCAUCCCCUGCUUCCCACCUGACCUCCCAGCCUUUACCCUAUUUCCUUCUAGUGGACAGACAGACUGGUUCUCCAAGUUGUUUGGGUGUCAGCGUCCAUCUGUCUGUCCGUGCAGGUCUUAUGUGGAAGGUAAGGGAGUGAGAAGUGCCGAAAGGAAGACAGAGGGACAGUUUUUUCCCAGGGGUUGCCUUAUUGAAAGGUCUGGCCCUGGAAAUCUGAGGCUGGUGGGGAGCCGAGUGGCCAGGGUGGGGUGUGGGCUGGGAGAAGUGGGGUAAAGCUGGUAGGUUUGUCACUGCGUAGUUGGGAAAAGUGGGGAAUGGUGACGCAGUCACUGUUGCAUCUGGUUAGGAGCUCUGUGGGGACAGGUAGUGAGACUCCUGGGGUCUCUGUGGCCAGCUGAGAGGGGUUAAGGAUGAGCUAAGAAGGGAAGCUAGCAUUUAGAGAUUAAAUGUCAUCCUUUUGGCGUUGGAAAGUUGUUUACCUUGCGCUCUCUGUGUCUCCAUGUUGGCUCCCUUCCAGUUCACAUGUGAUGGCCUUCCCUGUACUGCUGCAUCAUUAACUAAGUGACUGAGCUGGCCUUCCAUUGGCCAGGGGAGGGCUCUCCCUCCAGACACUUCCUCUGAUUGGUGGGUGGGCCAAUGGCAGGUGAAAAGCUUUUUUUGAUUGGCUCAGGGCAGGGUAUCAAAUCUGAAUUUGCAUUUCACUUGCUUAAAGGGGAGCGGGGAGAAGCCCAGCAGCUUUCUAAAAUCUCUUUAGGGGUGUGCGUAGGCUCCUGUGUCUAUGCCUGCUUUUGACUGCCCAGUUGAAGCCUCUUCCUAUGCCUUUUAAAAUUUCACGCACUAUAAGGAGGAAGAGCUCAGGGCUCCCAAAACUUUUUAUUUAGAGGGAAGAAUGCUAGGGAGAUGGGUAUGCAGAGGGUUGACCAAAUUGGAAGAAAAUAUUUAUUCUGUAGUUUGGUAUUGGAAAAGGGAAUUUUCCAAUCAGCCACACCUCAGUGUUGCGGCAAAAUAAUUCUUGGCUCCCCUGGAAACGCAUGGGCAAGGUAGGGCAGAGCUGCUGCUGCUGAUACUGCCACCACCCUGGGCUUCCUGCUGACUCCGGGCUACUCCCUGGGGACAACAGAUUUGCAUUGACGUCCGGGGCUGUCCAGAGGCCCUCAAGAGCCAGUUGUGAGCUGAGCCCAGUAUGGGAAAGAUCUACCUUCUGGAAGCUACUACUACAUGGUGCUUGGAAAGGUGAGGAUGGGGGACUGACCCCAGGAAAUUGCUCAAAACUCCGUAUUUGGUGGGAUUUCCAGAAAAGUCAGUGGGAGACGGGAGGUUUGGAGGCCCUGGGUUAGAAAGGUUUGUCAGUCUAGGGAAUGAGGAGAAUCAGAAUAAAACUAGGGCAGCAGGCUGUUCGCCUUUGGUUGGGGGAGGGAGGCCUCGAAAAAUCAGGGUCCGGCUCUCUAACCUGUCUUUGUUGCAGGUCUCACGUUUGUGGGGAGGGGGUUUACCAAGCCCUGCGCCAUGCGCAGUGGCCCCCACCCGUGACUGCGCAUCUGGAAGCGCAGUGCGCCCUGGGUCUCUGGCCUAGGACGAGCACCGCCCUUCUUAUUACAUAACUGAGGGCAUGGCACGCGCCUUCUCGGCCCUUCCUUGCAACCCUACCUUCUUGCUCCCCAGGGCCCAUAGAGCUGGGGAGGGUCUGACUGGGGAGCAGUGAAGGACUACAAUUCCUGGGAGGGCUAACUCUUGUCUAGUUACUGGCAGGAGCCAAGCUUGAGGACAAAAGUGGUGGUUUUCUAGCCUCAUCUUGGGGAAGAGGCUACAGAACAUCCUUCUGAGUGCCCCAUACCACCUAUGGCCCCUAGGGCCUCUCUGGUGGAAGGGGUGGCACCCUUCUUUCACUCAUGUCCCAUCUGAUUUUUGAGAGGAUGUUUCUGAAGGAAAAGAUGUGAUGAUUAUGGAGGGCUUGGUUGGGAGGUAGUUUUGACAGUUUACUCCCCUUGUCACUGACUUCCCCUCUUUUCCCUGGGUGGGUUUAUGAUCUUUCUGGACUCCUCUGAUGAGCUGCCAUUUUGGAGCCAUUUCUGCUGGUCUCUGACAUGGUGGCGUUGGUUUUUCUGUCCUGCUGUGCCAGUUCCGCAGAGUGGGCGGGGGGUGGGGGCUAUGACGGAGGAGGGGAAGGGGGGGCAAAAGCACAGCAGAGGCGGGCACAGUGGUGGCUGCCGCAAUGAAGGUGGCUCCAGGGGCAGAGCCGCCUAGUCCCACCCUUGGACACAGUCCUGGGUGGGGAUUCAGGUGGAAGGCGUCUGGAUAGGGGUUCACCACCUGGGCCCGGCUUUGCCAGAGCGUGGGUUUCCCAUGUCCUCAUCAGCCUGAUGCUUGGAGUAGUUCGGAAAAGCUGAGUGUCUGAAUGAGAGUGGAGGCAGAGGCUCGGCAGCUCAUCUCAGACGUGUCAGACCCGUGGUUUGUGUUCCCCAAAUAGGCUCUGUCUCCAGCAGCCUCCCUGUGGGGACAGGGAAGUGAGGUCCAUGGCAGCAUUGAGGAUCUGUUCGGAUGGUCCUGCCUGCUUACUGUUUUUCUUCUCUUUCUCCUCCAUGCCCCCUGCCAGUGCCAUGGUUCCAGCUGUAGUCCUCUUGUGAGGCUCCCCGCUGCCCAUUCCCCCUCUCCAGGCCCUUCUGCGUGCAGCGGCCAUCUUGUCUUUCUUGCUCAGAAACUUAAAAUGGUUUCUCAUCAUUCCCAGAGUAAAAUUCCUUCCCUUUAGCGUGAUGCUCAAUGCUGGCCGUAACUGGCCUUAGGUUUCCUGUACAGUCUUACCUCUCUCAGUUUCUUUUGGUGGACCAUGGGUUCCAACAAAACCAGGCAACUUCCUUUUCUUGCUUUUCCUAUCUGUUUUCACCAGUGAUGUUUUCCAUGCCUCUUCUCCUCUGCAUCCACCUGUGGCAGUCUCACUUUCUCCUUGGACCUCUCCUGAUUUCCUUUGCAAGAAGUUCUCAUAACCACCCCUGCCCUUUCGGCCAAACUUCCAUACAGUCUGUCCCUUUUUAUGGUACUUUUGUUGUGUUAUGAUUCCUUGUGUGUAAGUCUUAUGUCACCUAUCAGAUUGGCAGCUCCAGGAGGGAGGCUAGAGAAAGGAGAAGGAAAACAAAUACCUAUUUGGUGCCUUCUGUUUGACAGAUACCAUGUUAGACACUUUCCCUGCAGUUACUUCAUUUAUUCCUUUCCAUAGCCCUGUGGGGAGCAUCCCAUGUCUAGUAAGUGCCUGGUCAUGACUAGAGCUCUUGUCUUCCAAAGCCUUUACAUUUUUCCUCUCUGAAUUAUUGGUGUUUACAAGAUGGCUGUUAUGAAGUAGAUCCCUAAAAUUUGUCUAUUUUAAGGAAUUUUGUAAGUCCCUAAUGCUCUGAGGGAGUUUGGAUGGUCAAUCUUGUGUCUAUGGUCUGGGUCCCUCAGCUGUUCCUUGACACUGUCAUUAACUUUCUCCUCUUCCUUUGUGGUCAGGUUCACUCAGGAUGAUGGCUUUUUUCUUGUAGCUGAAAUCGAUGGAUUAACUGACUCAGUUAUCCUGGUUGCCUUCCUCGUACAAGAGGAGGGAGAGGUGGAGUGGGAUAUAGCAUUUUCAAAGCCAGAAUAAGCUCCAGAAUUAGAGAGCAGGGAGCAGAGACACUGGACUUGAACAGACCUAGGUUUUCAUUGUGAUCCUUCUUCUUCUUAGCUGAGUGACUUUAGACAAGUCAUAUGAUUUAAGUUUUCAUGUCCUCAUUCAGUGAGAUGGAGCUACUACAACUGUUAUACAGAAAUGCCUAAUAUAUUUGCAGCAAAUAGGUUCCCAUCCCUACCCAGUGGUUUAUCAGGGAGUUAAAAUGGGAGUGUAGCAGGGGGCUAGAGAAGAAAUGGGGGAGACAGGAGCUUCUGUGCCCUAAGUGGUGUCACAGCAGGGGCGCGGAGGAGGUAACCUAGGCAUUACGCCCUUCAAGCCUGCAAGGUGGUACUGUCCCCCACCUGGCGUAAAUACCCCUUUACUUCUGCAUCAGGAACUUGCUGUGGCAUGGAGUGGUGGGGGCUGGUGACGGCAGAGGGAGGGUCAGUGAGCUUUCCUGGGAGUCUUUUGAUGCCAGGUUAGUUUCCCUUCUUUCUGAAGCUCAGCAGUGGCUGCCUGCUUCCUGACGCUGCUGAGUCCCGUGGGAGGGGAGCUGGGCACCCUGAAGCCCCUCGUUACCAAUUUGGGGGCCGCGGAGCAGAGAGUGACGACAGCCAGUGAGUCGUCAGUCGACGGCAAUGGGGACCCUGGUGACGGCUGCUUUGUUGUUUUUUUUCCUCUUUGGAAGAUGACUCAGUGUAUCGGGAGCCGGGAGAUGGAGCUCUCAGCAGAGUGGCCAGGAUGUUCUGUCAACAUGAAAGCUACAAAAACAGCUCGGGGCUCUGAGCUGAUCCUUAGCCUGGGGUCAUUUUCAGGGAGGGCUGGACAGAGAAGGCGGCCACUGCCCGGGCAUCAGGAUAGGAGUGACACCAGAGGACUCAGGAGAGUGCAGCUUGCUCUGUGAGUGGGUGACAACCUCUUGGCGACUCAGGCUCAGCUGAGGAUGGUGCCAGUGUGCCGGAGACAGCCGUCAUACUGCCGGAUAGAGUGGCUCACUUGCAUGUAUUUGGAACAAAAAAAGGAGAUGCCUGGCAGCCCCUCUCUCUGCAGUGCUGUUGAGCCACCAAUUUUUGUGGUUUUGUGACCACAAGUGCUGACUGAUGCGACAUGACCCCAGUCUUGUCAGUGAAUCAUCCCCAGGCUGCUUACUGGAAACUAGAUGCAGCAAGGAAAUAGGAUUUAACCGCUCUCUGCCUCCCAGGUAAGUCCAGUGUGGGCUGCUCCCUCCAGCCUUCCCCCAUCCUCCUUCCUUCCCAUGAACACCAUUUUCCUUAUUCCGCCAGGGAAUCCUCAGACGUCUCCAUUCAGAAUCUCCCAAACAAUUGUUCUCUUUUUUGCAUUCUUCUCCUUCUGGCUUUUCUGUGAAUGGGGUUAGUAACCAGCACAGGGUUGGGGGCAGGAUGGGCAGCUGAAGUGGUCGGGCUGUGCAGACGUGUGGGAGAUAGCUGGGUAGUGUUGCUGGGUGUGGCAGUUGGCAGAGCAUUUGGGCCUCCCACAGUAAUAGAAACUCUCUUUGGCUCCAGCAUCCAGCAAGAGCUUCUGGGUUUAACCCCUCGGUAAUCCUGGGAGCCUUCCUGGUGCCUGGGGAUUCUCUCCCCUGUGUAGUCUCAGUGGAUGGCCUGUCUUAACUCUAGAUACAUUUUGCCUUGAGGGGGCUUAGUCUAGGUUGGUGGUCUGGAGUUUGGACUGGGCUGAGCAGUGAGCUUUGGGACUCUCCCUAAUUUUGGGGUUUCUUUGAAUGAGCCACUUUCUUCCUCUAGGCCUUCAUUACCUUUGCCUUAAAAAAAAAAUCCCUGGUCCAGUAAGCCAUUGCAAAGCAUCUCUAGGAAGUUGACAAAGAAAUGCUUUUCUUCUGCCUCACUUGUUGCCGAUCACAGUAAUAGCAAUGGUGAUUAAAAAUGAAAAAUGAUGACGGCCUGCAGAAUCGGGGAGGUCAGUGGCAUCAUUGAUAGAAUUCACAAAGCAGACUCUCGGUGCCCGCACAUCACUAGGAAGUCUGUCUCCUAUCGAGUAGAUGACUACAGCAUUCUUGGCCAGUAAAGCCAGUUGGAAUUAGCCAACAGCAGAUUGGUCUGGGCUCUAAAGAUAAAAGGAAUUAUGCUGGGUAAUUUUCGGAGGUACCUAUGGGAUCCUACCUCUGGCCACACAGUGGUCGCCUCUCUCUGCUCAUAUGUUUUGGUGGGGGUGGGGGGUUCCUCUUCCCCAUGCUGCUCCCGUUGCUAUCCAGGGAAGACUGGCCAAUUCUGCUUCCUGUUAUUUCUUCUUCUCCUCUGUCCAUUUGAGAUGAGUCUCUAGGUUGGCUGUGAACAGCCUGAGGAAUCCAGGGCUGUUUGGAAGAAUCUGGUGUCUCUUCCUUCAAGUACCCUGACAGGUCUCAGCCCUCCAGCAGUACUACAGUGAGGGAUGGCAGGGGGUGUUGGAGUGGAGAGAUAUCGACUUGGGUGCAACUAGGGAGACUAAAAGGAGCGAGCCACGUCCCUCAAGAAGUGUUGGCUAGAGUCUGGCCAGCCCUGGCUGUAGGGCUGGAGCCAGACAUCGCUGCUGGCUGUGCUUGGGAGUCUCAGCCCUCAUAUGUGCAGUGCGUCCCUGGGCAUAGCUCUUCGUGAUCCCCACUCCCACGAAUAGCCCUGUCCUUGGUUAGAUUGGGAAAACCAGGGUGGGAAGUAAAGGGGAGGUUGGUUUUGCUCGUGGUCAUACAGUUAUCUCAGUGGCCUCUGAUGUUUCCAGAAUUGGAAUUGGUGCUUCCCUGCUGAUUUUCCUAUUUUUGUCCCUCAUCUGGUUCUUUUCCUCCUUGCUCACCAGCCUGGGUUCUACACACAUGACAUGGGGCAUUGUGUGUUCCCAAUGAGGACAGCAGAACAGUUGGUAUCUCCUGAGAGAGGGGCCAGCAUAUCUGGCACUUUUUUCUUGACCUUUGAAUUUCUGAGGUCUGGGAGUCAGGAGGCAGCAUGGGGCCUCUCCAUCCGGGAUCCAGCAGAGGUUAACAGAGUUGGUGGCUCUGGAGCUGAGGUGGUGUGGCUUGGCUGGGAGUUGUGGGGGAGAGGCCCUGCCAGGGGCCCUGAUUGGUCAGUACCUUCUCUAUUCCAUUGAAUCCUGGUCCGGUCAGCUCUGUGAAUUGUUUAAUGCAUAUCUUGGCUCUGUCCCCUGGCUCGAGUGUCCCUAAGGCUGCAGCCACAGCUUUAGAGAGGAUCUGUUCCUUGUGCUGGUCACUUUUUUUGGCGUUACCUCCCUCUGAGAUAUGUAAGAGAUACCACCCUUUCCCACCAGCCGGCUGUCUGUGGGAGGCCCUCAUUUUGCUUUGCUUUUCUGAGACAUGGAGUGACUGUGAGGAAAGCAUGGACUGAGUUUGCAUUCUUGCUGGCUUCUUCCACAAGAGCUGUUCAUGGGCUGAUAAAGCCAGAGAACACCUCCAGGACCCCAUGGCCUGUGCGGAGCUUGGUACUGUAGUGUCAAGCCUGCGGGGAUGGACUGGGGACACGGGGGCAGAUAGAGCCACGUGGGGAGCUGGUGUGUGUGGUUAGAUCACAGGAGCAAGUCCAGGAGGGUGUGGGAGGACAAGUCCAGUGCUCAGCCAGGGCUGCCUGUCGUGGCCCAGGAUGGAUGUGUGCGUCUCCUGUGAAGGAUUUGCAUCUGAGUGCCUGGUACUGAAGGUAGGAUGGUGCCCCGAUCAGGGUCUAUAAUGAGGCAUGAAGGUAUGAGAUGGGCAUCAGAGUUGUUGGUCCAAGGGAAACUGACCUUUUUUAAGGCCCUCCUCUCCUUAUCUGAUUUCAUCCUCAGAACAACCAUAUGACGUAGGGGUCACUUCCCUUUUAUAGUGAAAGAAACAGAUUAAGUGACUUAAUCCAAGGUUAUGCAUUUGGUAAGUGAGGUUGUUGAGAUUUAAAUGCAUGCACUUCUUAUUCCAAAGCCUCUACGUUAUCUUUACUCUUUUGGGCUGAAGUCAGACAUUUUUGUGAACUAAGAUUCUCAGAGGACUGAUGUGAACCAGAGUGAAAAGGCAGACACCCGAAGGAACUUUCCAGUCACUGGGGACGAUUGUGCCGCAUUCCUUUUGGGGGAGGCAGGGCAGACCCAAAUGCCCUUUGGUAGCCAUGGACAGGCAGAGCUGAGUAAGGCCAGUACAUGGCGUCUGCUGCUGUGUACGGAGCCUCUGCUAUAUGCCAGGGACCGUGCCAGGCGCUAGAGAUACAGAACUCAGCAAAGCCAACUUUCCCCUUUCAUGGGGCAUACAUUCUAGUGUGGAGAGACACCACUAAUGAUUUUUUAAAAGAACUAAAAAAUGUACAGGAUAGACAUAUAUGGAGAUUGUGUGGGGAUGAAAAGGGGGACCCCCCACACACAUAAAGGGGAGAAUCCAGAUGAUGGUCAGAGGGAUCUAGAGACUUAGGACCUCAGCCAUCUGAAGCCACAUCAAUUGAGCUUUCCUUCAGGGAGUUAGGACUGACACAAACUAACCCCCUCUUUUUUCCUAAUAACUUGGGAAAUCCAUCCAAGGUCUCCAUGGCUUACAGGAACUUGUUGUGAGUCAGGGAUCAAGGUGGAGUAGAUGUCAAGCCUUUGGUCUCCAGCAGACCGGUUCUCUCCUGUCUGCCACGGUUGCUGUUGGCCUUCUGCCUCACACCUUCCCAGGCACCAGCUGACUUCUUUCCUCAGCCUGGUCACUGUGCCCCAUACUUGUCCAUGCAGCACAGGGAAACGUGCAGGUUAGGUCUUUGCCGAGCCACUGGUCAAAUGUUCCUGCAGGAGGCUGGUUCUGAACUCAGCCUGUCCUACCAGAACGAGCCGUUCCCACAGCUAAUCGUCUCACGAUAGGGAAGGGAUGGGCACCAGGCAUAGAGAAGUGACCUGUGCCAGAUGCUUGGUUGAGCUGUGUCUUGAGAGGUGGAGGCAGGUUGGUGGUGCUGGGGACAGGGCAGGCAUGUGUCAUGUGUUCAGCGCAUGUAGCUCCAGGGCUCGGGAUUUGUUUACUUGGUGGAAGAGGCAGCGAACCUGCGGAGUCAGGCCAUGUGAUUCUUCGCUCCUUGGCUGAUCAUGGACAGCUGACCCGCCGGACUGCACACACUGCCAUCUGCUGCCGGGGGUCUGAAGUUGCACAGGGAUGAGGUAGUGUGGUUGGGGGUGCUCAGAGAGGAGGAGGGUCAGGAAAAGUGGGGUUUGUGUUGCUCUGUGUUGAGGAGUCAGCCGACCUCGAUUCUGGUCCUAGCUCUUGUUGGUAAAAACUCACUCACUUUCCUCCUUUCAGCUCCAGUUUCAUUAUCUAUGAAAUGAGGGGAUGGAACCAGAAUCUCUUUGGAGGUUCCAGCUCUAUCCUGGGGCCUCCCUGAAUGUUCAUGGAGAUGUUCCUUAGCCAAUAAUUCAGGAUACGGAAAACUAGGCCCAGGUUUCCACAAGAGAAGGGGAGGGAUCUUGAUGACCUGUCUCAGAGCAGCUGAAGUGGUACUGUCAGAAUUAGGGUGGGUGGGUGGGAGGAGGUAGUUUUUAAAGAACCUCCCAGAAGUGGAAGCAGAGGGCUGGAGGUUUCACGAAGGUGUUGAUGAGGAUCCACUAGGUGGUAGGGGACAUGGCUACGUGCUUCCCCCGGGAGGCUUGUUAGAGAUGGGAUUAUGUGGGAGCUGCUGGGGGUGCCUGCUGUCCUGCAAGGGGCUGACCCAAGGGACCCUGCUCUAGGAAAGAUGCUCUGUCCUGUCUGGCCCUAAACCCUGGAGAGAGAAUGCAGCUGUGGAUUGAGGGAGGGUCUGUGCCCCUUGCUGUCAGGAAGUUUUCCUUUAUAUUUAGCCUUCUCUUUUCAUGUGUUUUUUGAGGCCCUCGACUAAAAAAUUAAUUUUAAAAAAUAACAAUGAAAAAAAUAAAAAAUAAACAAAAAUAUCUCAGAGCCACUGGUUCCAUUUUGGCUUUUUAGUCUUGAGUCACUCUUAAAAAGAUAGCAAAAUAAAACACAUGCAAGAAAGCCGAAGGUCCCAGGCCCAGCCAGAUGGGGGCUAGGAGUGGCUGGGACUCCGGCCUAGCUUCUCCAUGGCAGCGUUAGUCCCAGACGUACACCACUUCUGCAAGGCUGUGUGGGUAGGAGCCCCUGGGGCUGAGGGGGCACAUUGUGCAAUCUGCUAAGCAGAAUGUAGAGUUUUAAAAUAGCUACAUUUCUCCAAGACAGUAUCUGCUUGCCGCUUUGUGGGAUGUUUACCUGGGAUUAAUAAUAGCUGAGUGCCACCCCACUGCCAGUAUGGAAUAGCAAACAGCGAUCUGGGCUAGGACUCAGGCAGGAGAGGAAUGGAGUAAUAACCAUCGUAUCAACUCACAUAGUUCUUUUCACACUUGCUGGCUCAUUUGGUCCUCACACAACCCUGAGAGGGUAGGUGGUCUUAUCCUUGUCGUUGGUAAAACUGAACCAGAGAGUCAAUCCUGCCAAGAUCUGACUACUUGUAGCCGUUUCUCGUGGGUCUCCCAUCUAGGUCCUCUGACUUCAGCUGUUAUUUCUCUGGGUUCUGACUAGUGGGGCAGGGACAGGAGUAGGGGAGUGGAGUCUUUGGCAGUUUCCUUAAUUUCUGAAGGCCUUAGAGGGCCUAGAGAUGCCUUUUCUGUGUGUUGAAUGGGAAACGAAACCUCAGCAUGUCCAGGUUUUCCAACUCUCUGAUUCUUCAGACUUCUUGGAGCUCUUGUGAGAACUCGCUUGCACUUCUUGGCUGGGAAGCCAGCCACUCACCAUGUUUUCUUGGAGAGGUUUCCUGCAUUUGGAAGCUUCUGGAAUAUGUGAUACAUCAAACCACUGUGACACAUCUGUAUGGCACCUCAUGCCUAUGCACACAGGCAUGAUUCUGCUGAGUGCAGCUCACUUAGAGAUGAGGCCCAGUGUAGGGUCUUUGAAAUUUUUCCAACACAUUUGUAAGAGAUGCCCUGAGCCUUGCCCAGCAUGCAUGUUGUGUGUAUGCUACCUGUUUGCUGGCUAAUGUACAGCGCCUGCUGGAACCCUUGGCUAAUGUACAAUUUAAAGUAAGGGACUAGAAACACUGGCUUUAGUUUUGAGUGUCUGCUUCAUGAUUGACUUGAAAAAGUAGGGCUUACCCACAGAGAGAAAGGUGGGUAAGAGAACUCGUGGGUGUCAGUUUUCCUUAAAGGCAGAGCAUAAUCCCCCACUCUUUAUAAGGGCUGCUAAGGCGGAGUAUUGGACAGCAGGACUUCUUGGCCAGUUAGCCCUCUUGAGUGACCUUUGUUUAAAUAGACCCAGAACUUGUAUGAAGGAGGAGAUAAUGGUUUAUCUUUAUUUACAGCGGAUUUAGCCAUGAUGGUUUAGGCUUUUUCUGGGGGUAUUCCUUUAGGACAAUUAAGGUUGGACAGGGGCAGCAUGCAUGUGUGUCUCUAAAUGUCUGUCCUUUGGUAUUUCCUGAAUGCAUCCUUGGCUCAUACAGAAACCCUGUGAUGGGGAAUCCACAGCGGAAUUGUUUUAGUGGAUAAAGCCUCCUGUAGCUUCAUGUGUGAAGAUUUGUCAUGUUGGAUCCAGUUCAUUCUGUCCACUUGAAGGAUGGAAAAGAGAGUGGGCAGAACUUGCAGCAAGGAGAGUGAUUUGGGCUAGACUUCUGGGAGAACUGUGCAUCACCUCUGCUGAGGGUUCCUGAGGAAAGAUGAAGCCUCUUUAUUUGAGGUAGGAGACUGGGUGUCCUCCACAGGAUCCUCCCAGUCCCAAGUCUGUGGCACUUUGAGACAGUCCCUGGAACAGCAUGAGGUUUGGGUGCCAGGAUCUAGAGCAGGCAUUUCUCUCCAUCUUUCCCAUCUGCCUUCAAGACAGGCCCAAGCUGGAUGCAAUUGAGGGGAUGCAUGGGCAGGGUACACCAAUGUGAGCAUCGAACCUGGAGCUUUGACCUUGUUUCCCUUUGCAGAGAGAACUUCUGGCACUGAUCUUGUAGGAACUGGUGUUAUUUGCAUAUAAAAAAAGAGAAAGGCAUGUUGUCCCUCAUCUUUUCCAGGAAAGAGUGUUGAGCUGCUCUAAUCCUAUGGUGGGGAGGGAGGAGGGCCGUGUAGAGGACGCAAGGCCAGACAUGGUUUGCUGGGAAGAAGGUAGGAGGUGGGAGAGGAACAUCCCAGGGCAGGCCCACAACUCUGGGAGCCACAGACAUUGCCUGCUAUACUAAAGGCAAAGGGAUGUGUUCAAAUAGGCCUACUAUUUAGAGGUAACCCACAGUCUGAAAUAAAUCAGUUAAUGGCUAAAUAAGAGUUGUAUUAAAUAUGGAAAAUCAUAUUUUUUGUGUGUCAUCACUACCUACAGAUUUAGCAUCAACAGGCCUGAAAGGCUGAGGACGCUGAAAUGGGCCCUGUCCGUAAGAUCAUGCUUAUUUUAUAAUGACUUUUUGUCUCUUUUCGUUCCUAUUUCCCACUCUUUCUUAUUCCUUAGGUCUACGUGAAUAUUUAUUUAUGCAGUUGUGUUGUUUCCUUGGGGUACAGUUCUUCCAGUGUCAUUGGCAUCAAUGAAUAUGUGACUUUGAUUUCAAGUGUAAACAAACCACUGGUUCAAGGCAGGGAUGAGCCAUCUCUGAGACAAGGGCUCCAGCAGCUGCCUACAGACGCCCUUCCCCCAAUAGCCCUGGACUGUUUCGGCCAGACGCCUGAGACGAGAGUCAAGGGUGUUCUUGCAGGGACCUGCUCAACGCCAUGUCAUGUGUCCUGCCUGGAGGGUGGUGCUCACACAUGCAUCUUCCAGCCUUAUUAGCUGCUACUGCUUUUCAGCUUGACCUGAGGAGUGGUAUUGGAAGUUUGAGACCAUACAUCCCUUGCUAGGUGAGAAGGGGGUCAGAGAGGAAAGGCACAGACGGAGAAGAAGGGAACGCAGGCUCCUGGCCACUAGCCUCUCUCAAGACAGGUGAACUUUGUGUUAAGCAAACUCAUUUAAUAUUUUGAGCCUAAUAGAAGUUAUUUGUAUUUUCUCUCCUCUCUUUUCCCUCCUCUCUCUCACUCACCCUCCCCCUACUCCCCAGCCUCCAAAGAAUUUAAUCUGCUGGACAACAAACAAUACUGUUAUAAAACUUUGAAAACAAGAGGGCGCGGCCUCCCUGACAAGGAGAAGGGCAUGCCGGGUAACGGCCUGAGGGAGCAUGCCAGGCCUGAGAUGGAGCCGGGCGAGAGCCCAGUUGGCUGGGUACCUGGGCGCCUGCCCCUGCAUAGCCCACUAGCCGCGCCAUCCCCAGGCCAGAGGGGAAGGAACCGAAACAAAAGGGGGGGCAGAGAAACGCUUGAAAAGGGAAGUUGCACAUGUUCCCCUCUCUCUGAUCUGGUGGGAAUGCACUAGACUGUGAAACUUCCUCCUCCACCUCUUCUCCCGAGUCCCUCCCCCCCCUUACCCUCCUUCCUCCUCUCUCCUCCCUCCUUUCUCCUCCUUCCUCCUCCUGCCUUCUCCUGCUACUCACUGUUCUUGAGCCUGGCAGACAGAGGUCCUGAUAGCAGAAUGAGGCUGGAAUAGCACCAUAGGUGCAGCUACCAGCUGGGCCAGCCAAAGGGGAAGUAGAGAAAGUGGGCUCGCAGUUGGCUUUGGAUUCAAACCUACCCUCUGUCUGGCCCAGCCUCCCUCCAUUCUAUUAGGGAAGUGGAACCACGUCACAUCACAGGGUGUGCCCAGUCCAUGUGUGUGGACCAGGUGUGUGCCCAGGUACUGGGGAGAACUGCCACUCAGAGGUUAGUUCAGGAAGCACCCUGGGCUUCCUGGUGCUCCCCUUGGGCUGUGCUCUGCUCUGGGGAGGGUGUUUGACUUGUUGAAAUGCUCUCUCCUUUGAGAUGCUGUGCUCUCCCUCCAGGGAGGAGCAGAGGCUGUGCUGCAAGAGGCUGGGGCAUGUCUCUGGAGGAGCUCUUGGGAACAGGAACGUGCUUCUCCCAGCGUGAGCAGCCAUGCCGUCUUGUGAGUGUGGUGUCUGGUAGGAUACUGCAUCUGUUAGUUACUUCUCGGUGGCUGAAGGAGGAGGUCACCAGUUCUGCCUGGGGGAGGUGGGGAAGCUGGGCUUUGGGGCAUCUCCCUGCCUACCUCCAGAGUUAGAUUUCACCUGAGACUGUGGUUUCACUUUUGAGUCCAUCUUCACUGAGUCAAGCAGAUGAUUUAGGAAUGAGCAGGGAGCAGCAUUGGUGGUUUGCCUUUGGAUCUGCAUUGGUUUGGACCCAUGAACUCUGUGGUGGGCAUUGUGUUUGUGUAAUAGACCAUUGGUAUGCUCAUUUUUCCUCUUACGGAAAGCACUAGCUUCCUUGAAAGCAGUUCAGGGCCAUGCCCAUCCUUCUGUGCCAGAGCUGAGCCCUUCUACUGGGGGAACAUGGAGACACCCAAGCUCCAGUCUUCAUUCCACUCCUCCUCCUUCCCUUUGCCCUUCACUGUCUCCUGCUGUCCUCCCGGCUCAUCCCAGGGGCAGGGUAACCUUGGUGCAUCCUCCCAUCCAGCCAGCAGUCCCGACCCAGGGCCCCCGUGCCUGGACUGAGUCUGGGGUUUAUGUCAGUAGUGUUAAGGGAGGGAUGGAAAACUGAACUUUUAGGAGUGCAUCUGCCUAGGAACAUAGACCUCCAAACCUCUGACCCAGGGGAAACCAGAAAAACCGAUGCUGGGUCCACAUAGGCUUGGAAGGCUGUUACUUCUUGCCUUGUUACCUGAGUAGGAAUUUGAGGGGCACUGUGGGUUUGGAGGAUGUGAUUCCCACACUGGGGCUCAGGGCCUGGGAAAUGCAGUGGUCCCUGGGUUCUGAGUCCUCCUUUGAAGGCCACCCUGCCAGAAAGGAAGAGCCUGAUGGAGGUUUCUGGGGACUUUGGGCCAGCCGGUAACUCCGUGCUCCCUCCGCUCCACCCUUGGCCCCUCAUGUGUAUACCCUUCCUUUUAUCACCCUUCCCUCUGAUUCACAGCCCCCACCCUGACAGCUAAAGACAGAAUGCCCAGGCUGCUGCCUAGAAUGACAGGAAGCUGGGCUGCCCUCUCAGUUUAUACAUGCAAUGGCCUGGGACUGUCUCUUGAAGGCAAGACAUUCCCCUUUUACAAAAGAGCCUUCCCCAGGCCCCUCUCUCACCAAGAUGAGCUCUUCCUUGCUGCCAGGAGCCCUGAAAUCAGCAUUCCCAGAGGAAAAAAGAUGGCCAUCUGGGCUUGGCUUCCGGCUCCCCCCAUCUGGCUGGAACACACAUCAGUCACGUAAGUAGCUGUGACUCAGCACCCAGCACUGCCUUGGCAGAACCUUCCCACGUUCUGGAUUUGCACACACUGUGGUAGCGCAGCACAAGCAAGCAGGGUUAGGUAACUGGGGACCAGUGUCUGUUUGUUCAGUGGGUUUGCUUAUGGAUUUCAGAAACAAGGAUUCCCUCACCUUCCCAUUUUCCUCCCAUGUUAUUUUUUAGGUACCAUGCUAGGCUUUAAAGACAAAGCAUCAUUUAUAGAAUGAAGUAGAAGCUGUCUUUGCAAUCUCCAAACUGUUUUUAACCAACAGCCUGUAGAUUGUAUUUAACCCUCAGAUGUGUUUGGCCUGCACAGGUUUUGGUUUGAGACAGGGCUUCACUCUGUAGUCCGGGCUGGAGUGCAGUGGCACGAUAUCAGCUUGCUGCAACCUCUGCCUCCUAGGCUCAAGCAGUUCUCAUGCCUCAGCCUCCUGAGUAGCUGGGACUACAGGUGCGUGCCACCACACCUGGCUAGAGUUAUUUUAAUGUAUCUGAUUUUGCAUGCAUUUGGACAAAAUAUGGCCUCUCCAGUUCACUGUAUUUCUGCUGCAUGCUGUUGCUGCUUCUCUGUCUCAGGUUUCCUGCCCAAGCCCUCUGAGCAUUUCAACGUGCUGUGAGCAGCCUACCUCAGCCUCCUCUCUUUACACAUGAAGACACUGAGGCCCAUUCAGGGCAAGUGGCAGGUCCCUGUUCUCAGAGUUGGGGCCAAGCAGGUAUUAAAACCAUUGUGUUCUGAUUCACUGUGUGCCCAAGCAGAUUAAUUCCCUGGUGUGAGGUCAAGAAGCCUCCAGGUAGAAUGUGGGGACAGAAGUGGACCAGGCUGGAGUAUAGCUCCCACACCUUUUCUCUGCGUGGCAGCACUCACAAGACUGACAUGCCCACCCUUCUGGGUGGGUGGUUUUCCUCCCCAGACAGCCCUGCCAACCCUUUCACCUUCAGCCAGUUUGUUUGGAGUUAUUAGGCUGAGGUGGGUAAAAACCCAUCACCCUCCUUGGAUGGCAGAGCUCUCAGCAGGCUGGGAUUUUCAUGGGCUGCCUUCUUACAGGUCUAGGUGGCCUUCAGGCAUGGUGCCAGGGAAAUCAAGCCCCUUCCAGCCCUUACCAAACUAACUGGCUGCUUCCUAGUAGGGAACAGCCACCAGCUUGUUUCAGCGAAGAGUCAUUGCUCAGCUGACUCUGAGAGGAGAAAACUGGUUCUGUUGGGAGGGCUGAGACCUGAAGGACCCCUUUUAUCCAGUGGAAUUGGAAAGGCAAAGGAUUUCAAUACUAACAUGAUUUUUUCUCCACUUCUUUUAGAGUGUUUAAUUAAAGUGAUGCAUUGUUAAUGGCUUCUUAUCUCUUCUUCCAGAGAGUUAAGAGUUAAAUUUUAGAAUCCAGGAGUGGGGACCCAGACUGGCUUCUGUUAACUCCCUCAGUCGCAGUGGCAUCUUGCUAUGCACAGCCCCUCUGCCGUACUCCGAAUGGUCCCUUACGGGUAGCAGGAGAGACAUUAAAUAAUCACACUGAUGACCAAGUGAGAGAAGUGGUUUUUGAAGGAAAGAACUUGAGGCUGGCAAGGACCACUUAACCUUCUAGCAAGGGCUGGACUCAGGGAGGCUUUCCUGAGCUGCGGGGAGGAUGACAGGUUCCCUGGAGUGGUGGUGGGUGGGGGCGGGGCUGAGGGGUGGUAGCUAAGGGAGGGUGAAGGAGAGUAUUCCAGAAGAGACAACAGCUUAAGCAGGGCCUUGCCAUGGAGGAAGGUGCUUUCUGAUCACCGCGGGACACCUGUGUGAUAGCUCAUAGGGAGGGGGUUUGUGGAUACUGGUAACUAAAAGUUGAUAAGGAAGAGUGGCUAAAAUGAAAAGCAGAAAAGUGAGAAUCUCAUCAAAUCCCCUCAUUUGACAGGAUUUGGACUCCCAGUGGUAACUGUCCUUAAACACUCACUCCUGACCUUAACCCUGGCUGUUACCUGGUUAACAAGCCCCAGGUGUUGCCUACAGGUGUCAUCACUGAGAGCCCUUGUGUGCAGAUCUGCCCCAGCUCUCCCACCUGUGACUGAGGCUAGCCAGUCCCACCGUGGGCUGUAGAGCUUAGCGCUGGUGUCAGAAUCGUUUGUUGCAGGUUCAUCUUCAGUGUCUUUCCCACAGCCACAGCCAUGCUGGGGAAAGAUGGCAAAGGCGCUAGAGGAGCAGGAGAACAAAGCAAGCUGCCCCAGACUACCCGGCCUUCGCAGAACCCAGAUGAUGCUCCUGUCUCCCCCUAAGUAUAACGUGUUAUGUAGUCAGUAUGAUCCCAUUCGGUGCAGAAGUAUGGCCUAGGAAUUUCCUGCCUCACCCACCCUGUUUUGUUCUUAAUGAAGUUCAAGAACAAAAUGAGAUGAUAGUCAAGUUAUGGAGCAGGCUGCAGUGGGUACAAGGGCAGAAACACAGUCUUUGGAGUUAGACCUGGGAUCUGCAUUUAUUGGUUGUGUGACUGCAGACAAGUUAUUUAGCCUCAUUAAGGAUGAAUUUCUUCGCAAAAAUUGGAGUAAUACCUGCCCCAUACGACUGUUGUGAGAAUUAAAUACGACAACUUUU